rnacentral:lncRNA from 1 species
CCUUCAUAAGCUAAUUGGUAAUAUAAUUCGAAGAUUGCUAGCUACCAACUAAAUGGUGUUUCAAUUAAUUCGAAGAUUGCUAGCUACAACUAAAUGGUGAUUCAAUAUUUGGACAUAAUAUGGGUUUCCGAAACCAUUAUUAAGAUAGUCUUGAUAAUAUAUGUCUAAAACUAUGAAUCACAAGACAAGUAAGUUGUAGAGAUCCAUCCAUCAUGAAUCUUAGCAAGCUAGUGGGAGCUAUAAGCGUCUUAUGAGAGAAAAGAUCAAAUCGUUUGAUUUCUCAUAAAGAUGUAAAUGAAUCUUUUGUUUACUAGGUUUACAAAAGAUUAGUGGGAGUUAAUCAUGUUCCUAAAAUUUAAAUAUAUAUAUGAUAUAUUAAUUUUGGAAAUGAAAAGAAUACUUCUUCGUUAAAGUUAUGACUUUAAACAUUCUAUAACGAUAGAAUGUAUAUGGGAGUUAAUCAUGUUCCUAAAAUUUAAUAUAUAUGAUAUAUUAAUUUUGGAAAUGAAAAGAAUUUUUCUUCGUUAAAGUUAUGACUUUAAAACAUUAUAUGAAGAUAGAAUGUAUAUGGGAGAUAUAGUCUAUAUACA